UACAGAGGUCCCAAGCGUUGUUCGGAUUCACUGGGCGUAAAGGGUGCGUAGGUGGCGGGGUAAGUUCGAUGUGAAAUCUCUGGGCUCAACCCAGAAAUGGCAUUGAAUACUAUCUUGCUUGAGGGUCGGAGGGGAGACUGGAAUUCUCGGUGUAGCAGUGAAAUGCGUAGAUAUCGAGAGGAACACCAGUGGCGAAGGCGAGUCUCUGGACGACUCCUGACACUGAGGCACGGAAAGCUAGGGGCAGCAAACAGG
rnacentral:rRNA from 1 species